AGGGCUGUGGCUCAGUGGUAGAGUGCUCAUCUAGCACAUGUGAGACACUAGGUUCGAUCCUCAGCACCACUU
rnacentral:tRNA from 1 species